GUCGCCGGUCGGCGCCGCCGCAUGUCUCCGUUUCAGAGCGUAGCACCAUUCCUUCCUCUCUGGUAGCACGCGGUUCUGCUGUUCUGGCUAGCUGAGUUGCAAGAUGGAACGUUCUAGCUGUCUCCGACAGCUUGUAUUGUCUCCCUACAUGUUUGAACCUACAGCCGAUACGGAAAACGAUGGCGGCAACAGAGUCAACGACGAUAGUGAGUGUGCCAACAGCGAGAGCGGUGUGUGCACCUUCUCGCGCGCUGGAAAUCUUAGCUGGUGCACCUGCAUGAGCUGCGUAUUGAUGGAAGAAGAGAACUGCUUGUGCUGCCAGGAGGUGCAAGAGAUUAAGAAAAAACAGAAGCGCACGCAGUGCGUAACACGUUCAAGACAAUUCAGGACUGUGUGCCUCAGCAGGGCAGUACUGGAAGUGGCACUUGCCCAGAAAGGAGUCGAACCGGCUGGGCAAGGCAAGAAGUUUACACACAGGCAGUUGAGGUAUGCAGCAUACCGCCAGUUUGUCUGGCUAGUAUGGAAAAAGUUGGGAAAGAAUAACCGCCGAAUUCUGCCAAGCUGUGUACUUGAAGUUGUUCGGAAGAAAUACCCCUCCAGAACUGGCUCAUAUACAGGCUUCAAACACUUCUGGGAUUCCAUUUAGCAUCAUCCUUGGAAACUUGAGGAAACUGGCUGCACAAUGGUAGCGGGGUCAUCGGGAGCCGAGUUUUCUUGAACCGUGAUGACGAAUUCUUUGCCUCCACCAUCACGAGGUCCAAAAGCAUCUCCACAUAUUCU